rnacentral:tRNA from 1 species
GGACACAUUAGUUCAGUCGGUUCGAGCGUGGUGCUGAUAAUGUCAAAGUCACGGGUUCAAUCCCCGUUCAGUCCC